UCGUUAACUUCAAUAGGAGAUCAUGUGACGGUGAUAACGAUGACGUCGCCGUAAGCUUUGAAUUCUGUUUCAAUCACAAAGGCUAUAAGAAUGAGAUUGUUUGCUACACCUAUGCCAAUGGGAAUAAAAAUAGUCAAGUGUUUUCUGGUAACUUUCCCUUCAAAACUCAGACUUCCUUUGCAAUGGAGAUUAGCACAAAGAACUGCAUAAAGGCACUGAAGGUGUUCGUAAAUGAUGCCAAGAUUUUGGAGUACCUUAUUUCAUUUGACAUUACUUCUUUUACUGCAGUUCGAGUUGGUGGAGACCUUGAGAAACUUUCAAAGUGGAAUGUCGAAGUCGAAUAAAUGAAAAACUCUUUUUUUCAAUGGCAAUUGAAAAAAUUGAUACCAAAUAAGUGCGAUAUCAUUCUUAUAUCACACGUUACAUUUAUGUUUAAGCUGUUGUUUAAGUUUCUAUAAUAAAUUACUAAUUAUCUACACUUCUAAUUAUCUACAUAAUUAAGUAAUAAAACGUUUCCUAAAUAACACGUUA
rnacentral:sRNA from 1 species